AGCUUCUACAGGUUGAAGACCCUUCCCUAGCUUCUACAUGUUGAAGGCCCUUUCCCUAGCUUCUACAUGUUGAAGGCCCUUUCCCUAGCUUCUACAUGUUGAAGACCCUUUCCCUAGCUUCUACAGGUUGAAGGCCCUUUCCCUAGCUUCUACAUGUUGAAGACCCUUUCCCUAGCUUCUACAUGUUGAAGACCCUUUCCCUAGCUUCUACAUGUUGAAGACCCUUUCCCUAGCUUCUACAUGUUGAAGGCCCUUUCCCUAGCUUCUACAUGUUGAAGGCCCUUUCCCUAGCUUCUACAUGUUGAAGACCCUUUCCCUAGCUUCUACAUGUUGAAGGUCCUUUCCCUAGCUUCUACAUGUUGAAGGCCCUUUCCCUAGCUUCUACAGGUUGAAGACCCUUUCCCUAGCUUCUACAUGUUGAAGACCCUUUCCCUAGUCUCUACAUGUUGAAGGCCCUUUCCCUAGUCUCUACAUGUUGAAGGCCCUUUCCCUAGCUUCUACAUGUUGAAGGCCCUUUCCCUAGCUUCUACAUGUUGAAGGCCCUUUCCCUAGCUUCUACAUGUUGAAGACCCUUUCCCUAGUCUCUACAUGUUGAAGGCCCUUUCCCUAGUCUCUACAUGUUGAAGACCCUUUCCCUAGCUUCUACAUGUUGAAGACCCUUUCCCUAGUCUCUACAUGUUGAAGGCCCUUUCCCUAGCUUCUACAUGUUGAAGGCCCUUUCCCUAGUCUCUACAUGUUGAAGGCCCUUUCCCUAGCUUCUACAUGUUGAAGGCCCUUUCCCUAGCUUCUACAUGUUGAAGGCCCUUUCCCUAGUCUCUACAUGUUGAAGGCCCUUUCCCUAGCUUCUACAUGUUGAAGGCCCUUUCCCUAGCUUCUACAUGUUGAAGGCCCUUUCCCUAGUCUCUACAUGUUGAAGGCCCUUUCCCUAGCUUCUACAUGUUGAAGACCCUUUCCCUAGCUUCUACAUGUUGAAGGCCCUUUCCCUAGCUUCUACAUGUUGAAGACCCUUUCCCUAGUCUCUACAUGUUGAAGACCCUUUCCCUAGUCUCUACAUGUUGAAGGCCCUUUCCCUAGCUUCUACAUGUUGAAGACCCUUUCCCUAGUUUCUACAUGUUGAAGGCCCUUUCC